GGGUCAAUUGAUGAGGCAUUAACUGCAACAAUAUGAUGGGGUUGUCCUCAUGAUUCCUAGGUAUUUAAGUCUCUGAUGAUC